UGGCCAGGGAUGAAGCUUUUAAAAAAUUACACCAUCUUUCGGGACUGAAAGGCUGUAGAGUCUUGAUGUAAUUCUGCAAUUCUGAGGCCA